GGAGCUGUAGCUCAGUUGGUAGAGUGUUUGCCUAGCAUGUGUGAGGCACUGGGUUCGAAUCCUCAGCACCA
rnacentral:tRNA from 1 species